GUCUUCUUCCUCUACCAUGUGCAGCCCUCCGGUUCCUCCAUCCUCCUCUUCUUCCAUCACUAUCUUCUCUAUCUCCACUAUGGUUGCUUGCACCAUCAUGAGGUGGACGAUGCCUUCUGAUUUCAGUCAUAAGAUUCUGAAGAUCUUGUGUCAACCUAUCUUGCUUUUCUUCCGUGCUUUGUCAGAGUUUAUUAAAUUGUGCUAUGGUAACACGAUCUUUGAUGUCCACUUGACCCAUCUUCCUGUAAGGUUAGCUGAAUAUAAAUAAUUUGUAUUUGUGGAGUAUGAAAAUUUGGUGGCUCUCAUAACUCACCUCUCUAACCAUCGAAACUCUUAUGAAUUCCUCUGCUGCAGAUUACAAGGAAAACAAAUGUGUGGUGUAUGUGUGAUGGCAACUGAAAGUGAUGGCAAGGCAAAUACAAGAACAGAAAGUACCAAUUAUGAUGGUUUUUAUGUGGAGCUUGGUGGGGAGUAAUACACAAGGAAUGCAAUCUGAAUUCUAGUCGUUGUAAAGUUAAGUAACGAUCCAAACUAGAAGUUCUCUGCCUAGUGCUGACCAAAAGAUAUGAAAGAAGUAAAUGAUCACACACACGCGCAAAGAAAAUUCAGAUUUGAUGCAAACAAGGAGUAUGACUGGGAUGCAAGUGUUGCAAUCAGACCCAACCAAAGUUUUGCACCAAACAAAGAUAGCAAAUUGGUUGCAGAACUUGAUAUGAAACUUUCAGCACUUGUGCACAUAAACCAACUAAUCUUUCAGACUCUCUCUGAACCUUUCUCAACUUUUUUUUCACUUCACUUUUUUUUCCACUUUCUUUUAUAUUUUUUGACACACUUUUUUUUAUAUAGAACUAAACACAGGGAUCAUAUUAUGACACCUGCACAACUAAAGACAGAAAUAAAACAACAACCAGUAGCUAGAUAGGAUCAAAGUUAACACAAAGGAUGAUAUAGGCUAUAGAGAUUUUUUGUGGGGAUUUUUUAGAUAUAAAAGAGGCACAAAGAACACACGAAGGAUAAAUGAUCAGCAACUAAAACAGAGACUCUAAUGGACUGCGACUUAACCGAUCCCACAAAUUUUGGUGAUUUUUGGACAUGUUAAUAAAUUACUAAAAUUCAUGAAAGUUUUAUUUCCUAAAUAAAGGAUACAAUUUUUAUAUAUAUGGAAAUUACCAGAAAAUGUAACCUAAUAUUUUUCCUAUGUUCUAUUCAUAUCACAAAGCCUACACAAAAAUUUUCAUUAUUUUUAGAUCAGCACAUAAUUUUGUACACCAAUUUAAACAUCAGUCCAUUUUAAUAUAAAAAGAAAAAGGAAAAUCAGUUUGGAACCGGGACAGGCCCACCAAAUCGGCCCGCAGGGCAGCCCACUCGUGUUGGUUCCCGCCCUCCUUUCCCUCUCUGUAGGUCGCUGGCAGAGAGGUCCCACCC
rnacentral:lncRNA from 1 species